GCCAGCCCGCUCAGAAACUCAAAUGAAUUGACGGGGCCCGCACAAGCGGUGGAGUAUGUGGUUUAAUUCGAUGCAACGCGAAGAACCUUACCUGGUCUUGACAUCCCGGAGACCCUUAGGAAACUAGGGGGUGCUUCCAUCUGGAAGAAUCUGGAGACAGGUGCUGCAUGGCUGUCGUCAGCUCGUGUCGUGAGAUGUUGGGUUAAGUCCCGCAACGAGCGCAACCCUUGCCUUUAGUUGCCAGCAGUUCGGCUGGGCACUCUAAAGGGACUGCCGGUGUUAAACCGGAGGAAGGUGGGGAUGACGUCAAGUCCUCAUGGCCUUUAUGACCAGGGCUACACACGUACUACAAUGGCCGAUACAAAGGGCAGCGACACUGCGAGGUGAAGCCAAUCCCGUAAAAUCGGUCUCAGUCCGGAUUGGAGUCUGCAACUCGACUCCAUGAAGUUGGAAUCGCUAGUAAUCGUGGAUCAGCAUGCCACGGUGAAUACGUUCCCGGGCCUU
rnacentral:rRNA from 1 species